UGUAAAGCUCUUUCGUCAGGGAAGAUAAUGACGGUACCUGGAGAAGAAGCUGCGGCUAACUACGUGCCAGCAGCCGCGGUAAUACGUAGGGGGCAAGCGUUGUUCGGAAUUACUGGGCGUAAAGGGUGCGUAGGCGGCUUUCUAAGUUUGGUGUGAAAUCUCCCGGCUCAACCGGGAGGGUGCGCCGAAUACUGGGGGGCUUGAGUGUGGGAGAGGAAAGUGGAAUUCCUGGUGUAGCGGUGAAAUGCGUAGAUAUCAGGAGGAACACCUGUGGUGUAAACGGCUUUCUGGACCAUUACUGACGCUGAGGCACGAAAGCGUGGGUAGCAAACAGGAUUAGAUACCCUGGUAGUCCACGCCCUAAACGAUGCAUAUUUGGUGUGGGC
rnacentral:rRNA from 1 species